rnacentral:piRNA from 1 species
GAUGAGGAAAAUUACUCAUGGG